rnacentral:rRNA from 1 species
UUAGAUUUGAUCCUGGCUCAGGACGAACGCUGGCGGCGUGCUUAAUACAUGCAAGUCGAGCGGACAGAUGGGAGCUUGCUCCCUGAUGUUAGCGGCGGACGGGUGAGUAACACGUGGGUAACCUGCCUGUAAGACUGGGAUAACUCCGGGAAACCGGGGCUAAUACCGGAUGGUUGUUUGAACCGCAUGGUUCAAACAUAAAAGGUGGCUUCGGCUACCACUUACAGAUGGACCCGCGGCGCAUUAGCUAGUUGGUGAGGUAACGGCUCACCAAGGCAACGAUGCGUAGCCGACCUGAGAGGGUGAUCGGCCACACUGGGACUGAGACACGGCCCAGACUCCUACGGGAGGCAGCAGUAGGGAAUCUUCCGCAAUGGACGAAAGUCUGACGGAGCAACGCCGCGUGAGUGAUGAAGGUUUUCGGAUCGUAAAGCUCUGUUGUUAGGGAAGAACAAGUACCGUUCGAAUAGGGCGGUACCUUGACGGUACCUAACCAGAAAGCCACGGCUAACUACGUGCCAGCAGCCGCGGUAAUACGUAGGUGGCAAGCGUUGUCCGGAAUUAUUGGGCGUAAAGGGCUCGCAGGCGGUUUCUUAAGUCUGAUGUGAAAGCCCCCGGCUCAACCGGGGAGGGUCAUUGGAAACUGGGGAACUUGAGUGCAGAAGAGGAGAGUGGAAUUCCACGUGUAGCGGUGAAAUGCGUAGAGAUGUGGAGGAACACCAGUGGCGAAGGCGACUCUCUGGUCUGUAACUGACGCUGAGGAGCGAAAGCGUGGGGAGCGAACAGGAUUAGAUACCCUGGUAGUCCACGCCGUAAACGAUGAGUGCUAAGUGUUAGGGGGUUUCCGCCCCUUAGUGCUGCAGCUAACGCAUUAAGCACUACCGCCCGGGGGAG